UGUCAAUGGGCAAAGAAACAUCUUGUUUGUUGUUGGUGAUGUUCUUAUAUCAGUCGAGGCAGAGCAGACGACAGUCCUUUGUUCAUCCUAGCUUGAUGCCUGGCUUGCUGGCCAAAGCUGUUUUCAGCCUAGGACAUAGAA